ACGUGAAGAAUCUGCCCUCCACUUUGGGAUAACACCGGGAAACCGGUGCUAAUACCGAAUAUUGAAACAUAAGUGGCAUCACUGAGUUUUGAAAGAAUUUCGGUGGAGGAUGACUUCGCGGCCUAUCAGCUAGUUGGUGAGGUAAUGGCUCACCAAGGCAACGACGGGUAGCCGGCCUGAGAGGGCGACCGGCCACACUGGGACUGAGACACGGCCCAGACUCCUACGGGAGGCAGCAGUGGGGAAUAUUGGGCAAUGGAGGAAACUCUGACCCAGCGACGCCGCGUGCGGGAUGAAGGCCUUCGGGUUGUAAACCGCUUUCAGUAGGGAAGAAGCGAAAGUGACGGUACCUACAAAAGAAGCACCGGCUAACUAUGUGCCAGCAGCCGCGGUAAUACAUAGGGUGCAAGCGUUGUCCGGAAUUAUUGGGCGUAAAGAGCUCGUAGGUCGUUUGUUACGUCGGAUGUGAAAACCUGAGGCUCAACCUCAGGCCUGCAUUCGAUACGGGCAAA
rnacentral:rRNA from 1 species